rnacentral:rRNA from 1 species
AUGGUGCAAUACGUUGAGCUAUGGCGUUCGGUGCGACACAUUGAGCUCUCUAGCGAGCUGGACACGCUACGCUGGCGUUGGACCCCCUCGGCUACGUACACCGCUAGCUCCUGCUACAAGGCCCUAUUCUUUGGAGCCUAUCAAGACCCUUUCUGGCGGCUCACUUGGCGGCCUUGGGCUCCUCUCCGCAUCAAAUUCUUCCUGUGGUUGGCCAUGCAAAAUCGUUGCUGGACCGCGGAGCGCCUGGCUCGCCGCGGAUUGCCCCACAACGACCCAUGCGUCUUGUGUGACCAGGAGGAUGAGACCAUGCACCACCUUCUUACCGGAUGCUCUUUCUCUCGCCAAGUUUGGCACGAGAUCCUAGGCUAG